GUAAAGGCCCUUUUCAGGGCUACCCACAAUUUGAUUUGAAUUCUUU
rfam:Schistosoma margrebowiei strain Zambia genome assembly, scaffold: SMRZ_scaffold0004605